AGAGUUUGAUCCUGGCUCAGAUUGAACGCUGGCGGCAUGCCUUACACAUGCAAGUCGAACGGCAGCGCGGGGCAACCUGGCGGCGAGUGGCGAACGGGUGAGUAAUAUAUCGGAACGUACCCUGGAGUGGGGGAUAACGUAGCGAAAGUUACGCUAAUACCGCAUACGAUCUAAGGAUGAAAGUGGGGGAUCGCAAGACCUCAUGCUCCUGGAGCGGCCGAUAUCUGAUUAGCUAGUUGGCGGGGUAAAAGCCCACCAAGGCAACGAUCAGUAGCUGGUCUGAGAGGACGACCAGCCACACUGGAACUGAGACACGGUCCAGACUCCUACGGGAGGCAGCAGUGGGGAAUUUUGGACAAUGGGCGCAAGCCUGAUCCAGCAAUGCCGCGUGAGUGAAGAAGGCCUUCGGGUUGUAAAGCUCUUUUGUCAGGGAAGAAACGGUGGGGGCUAAUAUCUCCCGCU
rnacentral:rRNA from 1 species